rnacentral:rRNA from 1 species
GAGCGGGGGAGAUUGCUUCGGUAAUUGACCUAGCGGCGGACGGGUGAGUAAUAUUUAGGAAUCUGCCUAUUAAUGGGGGACAACAUCUCGAAAGGGAUGCUAAUACCGCAUACGCCCUACGGGGGAAAGCAGGGGAUCACUUGUGACCUUGCGUUAAUAGAUGAGCCUAAGUCGGAUUAGCUAGUUGGUGGGGUAAAGGCCUACCAAGGCGACGAUCUGUAGCGGGUCUGAGAGGAUGAUCCGCCACACUGGGACUGAGACACGGCCCAGACUCCUACGGGAGGCAGCAGUGGGGAAUAUUGGACAAUGGGGGGAACCCUGAUCCAGCCAUGCCGCGUGUGUGAAGAAGGCCUUAUGGUUGUAAAGCACUUUAAGCGAGGAGGAGGCUCUUUUGGUUAAUACCCAAGAUGAGUGGACGUUACUCGCAGAAUAAGCACCGGCUAACUCUGUGCCAGCAGCCGCGGUAAUACAGAGGGUGCGAGCGUUAAUCGGAUUUACUGGGCGUAAAGCGUGCGUAGGCGGCUUUUUAAGUCGGAUGUGAAAUCCCCGAGCUUAACUUGGGAAUUGCAUUCGAUACUGGGAAGCUAGAGUAUGGGAGAGGAUGGUAGAAUUCCAGGUGUAGCGGUGAAAUGCGUAGAGAUCUGGAGGAAUACCGAUGGCGAAGGCAGCCAUCUGGCCUAAUACUGACGCUGAGGUACGAAAGCAUGGGGAGCAAACAGGAUUAGAUACCCUGGUAGUCCAUGCCGUAAACGAUGUCUACUAGCCGUUGGGGUCUUUGAGACUUUAGUGGCGCAGCUAACGCGAUAAGUAGACCGCCUGGGGAGUACGGUCGCAAGACUAAAACUCAAAUGAAUUGACGGGGGCCCGCACAAGCGGUGGAGCAUGUGGUUUAAAUUCGAUGCAACGCGAAGAA